UACCAGCAACCCGAGUGGUAGGGACGUUUAUUGGGCCUAAAGCAUCCGUAGCCGGUUCUACAAGUCUUCCGUUAAAUCCACCUGCUUAACAGAUGGGCUGCGGAAGAUACUAUGGAGCUAGGAGGCGGGAGAGGCAAGCGGUACUCGAUGGGUAGGGGUAAAAUCCGUUGAUCCAUUGAAGACCACCAGUGGCGAAGGCGGCUUGCCAGAACGCGCUCGACGGUGAGGGAUGAAAGCUGGGGGAGCAAACCGG
rnacentral:rRNA from 1 species